GAGGGUAUAGCUCAGUGGUAGAGCGUGUGCUUAGCAUACACGGGUCCUGGGUUCAAUCCCCAGUACCUCCA
rnacentral:tRNA from 1 species